rnacentral:rRNA from 1 species
GAUGAACGCUGGCGGCGUGCCUAAUACAUGCAAGUCGAGCGAACAGACGAGGAGCUUGCUCCUCUGACGUUAGCGGCGGACGGGUGAGUAACACGUGGAUAACCUACCUAUAAGACUGGGAUAACUUCGGGAAACCGGAGCUAAUACCGGAUAAUAUAUUGAACCGCAUGGUUCAAUAGUGAAAGACGGUUUUGCUGUCACUUAUAGAUGGAUCCGCGCCGCAUUAGCUAGUUGGUAAGGUAACGGCUUACCAAGGCAACGAUGCGUAGCCGACCUGAGAGGGUGGUCGGGCACCCUGGGACUGAGGAAAGGGCCCGAAUCCUAAGGGAAGGAAGAGUGGGGAAAUUUCCGCCAAGGGGGGAAGCCCGAACGAGGCAACGCGGGUGGGUGAAGAAGGGCUUCCGGUUCGAAAAACCCUUUGAUUGGGAAAAACAAAUGUGUAAGUAACUAUGCACGUCUUGACGGUACCUAAUCAGAAAGCCACGGCUAACUACGUG